AACGAACGCUGGCGGCAGGCCUAAUACAUGCAAGUCGAACGAACCGUUUACGGUGAGUGGCGCACGGGUGCGUAACACGUGGGAACAUACCCUUUGGUACGGAAUAACGUCUGGAAACGGGCGCUAAUACCGUAUAAUGACUUCGGUCCAAAGAUUUAUCGCCAAAGGAUUGGCCCGCGUCUGAUUAGUUAGUUGGUAGGGUAAUGGCCUACCAAGACGAUGAUCAGUAGCUGGUCUGAGAGGAUGAUCAGCCACACUGGGACUGAGACACGGCCCAGACUCCUACGGGAGGCAGCAGUAGGGAAUAUUGGACAAUGGAGGAAACUCUGAUCCAGCCAUGCCGCGUGAGUGAAGAAGGCCUUAGGGUCGUAAAGCUCUUUCAAUGGUGAAGAUAAUGACGGUAGCCAUACAAGAAGCCCCGGCUAAAUUCG
rnacentral:rRNA from 1 species